rnacentral:lncRNA from 1 species
CUCUAGUUUAUCUUCUAUUCCAUCCUACCAGGUGCAACGAAAGACAAGUCGGAGUUUGCAGAUGACAGCGUUUCACUCAGGACGCCAAGAGUUGUGCUGCCUCAAGGAAACGCCAUCACUUGCACAAAACAGAAGUAGCUUCGAUCUUCUAGGGAUGGCAACCCACUUUUUUAAAGCCUACCAGGCGCGGGACAAGUGCCGGGCACUUGCAGACGUGGGCUGCGGUACCGGAAGAUGUUAGCUCUGCGGGGCAGGCACAAGACAGGCUUGUGGACACACGCCAUGCCCCCG